UCGUCCGGGGGUGGCCGGGUGCCGACGAGGUAUCGCAUUUCCGCACGAAGGUGUUGGAAAUAGGGCAUAGACCACUUGCACCCCUACGUCAUCGAUUACGUUUCGCCACCGCGCAAAGCAUGCUGGUGGGCACCUAUCAACCUUAUCAGCCUUUUCGGCCUAUCAGCAGACGCGUUUUACCCGCUUCUUGCCAACCCACUGAUCUCGAUUGUAAAAGGCUGGAUCGCGGAUAGGGAGCGCGAGCGUGAAGAAACCGGCCGCCAUCUUACGGUGCUCACAACAGUCGCCGCAGCGAUCAUGGCAACUUCUUGCAAUUACGGUCGUACCAACCGUACUGGCAAGGUUACAGGGCCUAAAUUUAUACAGGGUGCAAAGACAAUUCCCAGGUCUGGGGGCCAAAAGAUUCUGGGCGAAAACACGUGGCAUCGGCUUACCGUGGACGGUCCGAACGACCCGAAAAUGCCAUGCCUGGUCUCGCCAUAUAGGGGGUCGAGAACUACCCGGAGGACGCACACCCGGACUGUCCCUCCAACGCGUCUGACAAAACAUCUGGAAGCAAUAACUUUGGGGAUCCCGAAGCUGUCAUGGCCAACUGAACCAGUUCCUGUUGCAACAACUCUUCUCUAACGUAACUCGCAACUAAACGAAAAUUCGCACAAGAACUUGUCGCCCUGUGGUAGUGCCCUUUGACUGGGGGAGCCGUGCUACCUCAUCUGUAAAUGAGGGGGAGCCGUCGCUCCCCCUGCUCCCCCUAUUCCGGCGCCCCUGGGUGUACAGGUUACUUCACAGCUGCCUCGACAUACUCAAGAAAUGGGUGCAGAACCUGCGUAAUGCCCACAAACUUUGAUUACCACAGCACCUCCAGAAAGUAUGUGUCACAUGGGAUUUUUAAAUGUAUUCACAGUAUAUAAUAACUUGUAUUAACUGUUGUAGAUCUAAGCCGUCUCUACAGUACACUCUCAGAAAUUAAAACCGUGAGAACCGUGAUAAUUGUUUCAGUUAAUAGGCAUGCACAUAUAUGCUAUAAGAAGAAAGUUAUUUCUUGAGAAUGCACUUCUCUGGCUACUGGUGUUGUUUACAUCUACUGUUGAUCACAUUCAUUUAUCACGUAUUAUAUUCUUAUAUAUACUAUUAUAUUAAAACAUAUUUGAUCACAUUAAAUUCAAAAUUCAUCAUAUAUAAGAAAAUACCAGGAGGGAAGUUGCUAUUCAUUGCUCAUUCUAACCUAAAAUUGAGUGCUACAAAUUUAGAGAGAGUACCUGUCCAUUGUCAUUCCUAAAAUAUAUAUUGUCAUUGUAGCAAGGUCAUAAAACAAUAAAUGUAGUCUUUUGUGACCUCCCUGCACGUUCAUUGUAUCCUGAAACGCAUAAGUGCAAGAAAUAAUUUUAAUAAACUUGAUGUUGUAUAAACUUGAUAUAAAAUGUUGAAUAAUAUCAUGUAUGAUA